AUCGCUUCUCGGCCUUUUGGCUAAGAUCAAGUGUAAAUUCCUUUUUUGUUUUUCUUCUUUGUUUUUGGGCUAUGUCUUGCUAUGUGAAGGAGGCUAGUCUCGGGGCCCUGGGCUCAAGCAACCCUCC
ensembl:snRNA U2 U2 spliceosomal RNA